AGGAUAAACGCUGGCAGCGUGCCUAACACAUGCAAGUCGAACGCGCUUGCUAUCCGCGAGGACGGUGAGCGAGUGGCGGACGGGUGAGGAACACGUGGGUGACCUACCUUUCAGUGAGGGAUACCGGCGAGAAAUUGCCGACAAGACCGCAUACGCUUCUCUUUUCAAGGGGAGAAGGAAAGCUUUUCGCAAGAGAGGCGCUGGGAGAUGGGCCUGCGGCCGAUUAGCUAGCUGGUGGGGUAAUGGCCUACCAGGGCGACGAUCGGUAGCUGGUCUGAGAGGACGAUCAGCCACACUGGGAUUGAGAACGGCCCAGACUCCUACGGGGGGCAGCAGUGAGGAAUUUUCGGCAAUGGGGGCAACCCUGACCGAGCAACGCCGCGUGCAGGACGACGGCCUUCGGGUUGUAAACUGCUUUUCUCUGGGACGAGCAAGGACGGUACCAGAGGAAGAAGCCCCGGCUAACUACGUGCCAGCAGCCGCGGU
rnacentral:rRNA from 1 species